AAAAUGUUGUUGAGUGGUCCACAGCUGAGUAUGGCCCACUCCUAGGGAGACUGGCUUGUUAGCAUUUCUGGACCGCAGCUGCUGUGGUAAGUAAUUUUUGGGUGGCAACUUGGCUGACUUCCUCAUUGUUGAUUGCCUAAUCCUGCAUCUUCUCAUAUUAGCCAAGUGUGUCGCCACUGGAAUCAUGUCUGACCGUGGAAUUUAUGAAAUCCACUGCUGUGUGGUAAACACCCAGUCUCCAAAUGUCACACAAAACCAUCAUCCACUGAGUUUUGCCCCCUGAAGACUACUUGUUCAACUUGUGUGAAUUAAGUUUCCGUUCUAAGAAUGAAAUUUACAAACUGACAAGGCCAGAUCUGACAGCAAAAGGGUCAGGAGAAAUAGAAUGUUGUCAUCCUUGACCAGAUAGAGUCGAUGUUUAAAUAUGAUAUAAUUGAUAUUGGAGGUUAAAGUGGAUUUGGCUCUUAGAUAUGAGUUGAGAGAGUUGUGUUCCGUUAUUUGAAGGUGGAGCGUAGGGGUUCAAUUUUGAACAUUUGAUGUGUAAUUUAUUUGCUAGACAAUUUAUGUGCCAAUAUUAAGUAAGCAGUUGAAUUCAUAAGUCUGAAGUUCGGGAAAUAGGGUUGGACUACAGACAUAAAUUUGGAAGUUAUCAGCAAGUAGAUUUUUAAAUAUUAAAUUUAAAUAGUUAGAGCCAUGAAACUAUAGGAGAUCACCAAAGAAGUUGGAGUUAGAGCUUCCCAGGUAGAAGAGAAAAGGACCAGAGACUAAGCCCUAUAUCACUCCAGCAAUAGUUUGGAGAAAAUAGGAAGAAUCAGCAAAGGAGAUAGAGAAGGUACAAACCAGUGAAGUAGGAGAAAAAGUCCAGAAUCCUGGAAGCCAAAUGAAGAAUGUAUAGAGUGGAAGAGGGCAGGAUCCACCUUUCAAAUGCCACUGAGAGCUUGAGUAAUAUGAUGAUUAAAUAUCGACCUUUGGAUUUAACAACAUGGAUGUCAUUAGUGAUCUUGAUUAGAGUAAUUCUGGUGUGUGGUGGAGACAAAAGCCUGACUGCAGUGGGUUUAAGAAACAAUGUGAGGUGAAUUGGAGUCAGUGAGUAUGAAUAAUUACUUUGAGUUUUGUUUCAAAGGAGAGCAAAGGAAUGGGGCAAACCUGAUAAGGGUGUGAGAUCCAUAGGGGAUUUCUAGGAAGACAUAUGAACAAUAGCAUGUUCACAUGCCAAUAGAAUUUUCCAUUAGAUAGUGAAAUAUUGACAAAGAGAAGAAGGGGAAACCUUCUGGGUGUUGCCUAUUUAAGGGGAAUAGGACUUAAUAUGUAAGUGGAAGGUUCGGCUUUAGGUAGCAUGGAUAGAUGAUCUAUAGUCAUAAGUGGAAAGACAGAGAAUAUAAUCCUCGAUGCUGUAGAUGGAUUGAUAUGUGGUAAGAGACUGUCAGUGUUUUCUUCUGCUUGUUUUAAUAUUCUUAUUGAGGUAUGAAGCCAGCUUUAUUCCCCUACAUGUGUUUUCAAAUAUAUUUCUAGAAUGAGUUACUCUUCCUCAUGUGUACUAAUUCUUGCUGACAUAUCCUUGUUCACACCUGGAAUACCUGUAUCUUUUCAGUCCGUAACCCUAAUUACUUCUCAGAGUCCAACUCCGAUUCCACCAGAACAUUAAUGUUGAUUGCUUGCAAAUACCUUAGAAGUUGCAGAUGAGGCUGAUCUCCACAGAAAAGGUAGAGGGGGAGCCACUUUUCCAUCCUUUCCUAUCUCCUCCUUCCCCAACCACCUGCCCACCCAAACCCUAGGCCCAGCUGGCUUUGGAGGACUCCAGUUGAACCUUCACCUUUUACAGGGAUGGAGCAGUCUCUGCAAGACAGGGGUUGGCAGAAGUAGGAAGCAAACAAAUUGAGAAAAGAAACAGUAAGAAGAGGAAGUUCUUGACAGGGAGAAUUGUUUUUCAAGAGGGUUAUAUUUUUAUUCUGAACAACAUCCAUUUGUUUGAUAAAUAUAUCAUUGUCUUCUACAUGUGAGCAUUGUGCUAGUGAUGGGGCUACAAUGGUGAGAAGGUAGAGGGAGCCCCUGACACUGAGAGUUUAACGUCUGAACGUAGUCUGAGCAGCGUCGUGACAUGCUGACUCCUGUUAAGUGCAGUGCCUGUUAUCAUCUCUGCCCAAAGGUUUUGCUUUACUUAUAAUUAGUUAGAGUCAUUUGGUAUUUUGAUGGUUGAUGGAUGCCAACACUGCACAAAACUCUCCAAUGUUCCAUGAGACCACAGGAUUAACUGUGAUGCAGGUCAGACUACGACUUCAAGCAAUGUACUUAAAGCAAGUACAUCCUUUCCUAACAUAAGGCAGUGCUGUCCAAUGUAAAUAUAAGCCACACGUGUAAUUUAAAAUUUUCUGAUGGCCACAUUUUAAAAAACAAAAAAUAU